rnacentral:sRNA from 1 species
AAAGCAUGUUGCCGAAGACAGCAGGUGCCGCAAGGCGUAACCGUAAGAACCUGCCGAGGGAAUUUAUUUGAUAGUAUAUCAAUGAAUGAAUUUAGAACCUCUCUGUCUAUGGCAGAGAGGUUUUUUGUGU